rnacentral:rRNA from 1 species
AUUGAACGCUGGCGGCAGGCCUAACACAUGCAAGUCGAACGAGUGGCGGACGGGUUAGUAAUGUCUGGGAAACUGCCCGAGGGAGGGGGAUAACUACUGGAAACGGUAGCUAAUACCGCCUACCAUCGGAUGUGCCCAGAGGGGCUUGGAUGGAAGGUGGGGUAACGGCUCACUUAGGCGACUAUCCCUAGCUGGUCUGAGAGGAUGACCAGCCACACUGGAACGGAGACACGGUCCAGACUCCUACGGGAGGCAGCAGUGGGGAAUAUUGCACAAUGGGCGCAAGCCUGAUGCAGCCAUGCCGCGUGUAUGAAGAAGGCCUUCGGGUUGUAAAGUACUUUCAGCGAGGAGGCGUUACUCGCAGAAGAAGCACCGGCUAACUCCGUGCCAGCCGCCGCGGUAAUAC